GAAAUGCGAUAAGUAAUGUGAAUUGCAGAAUUCAGUGAAUCAUCGCAUCUUUGAACGCACAUUGCGCCCGCUAGUUACUCUGGCGGGCAUGCCUGUCCGAGCGUCAUUUCAACCAUCAAGCCCCCGGGCUUGCGUUGGGGACCUGCGAGCUCUCCGCCCGCAGGCCCUGGAAACCAGUGGCGGGCUCGCUGACACACCAAGCGUAGUAGCAUAAUUCACGCUCAGGGCGUGCUGCGGGCUCCGGCCGUAAAAUCGACCCCUCGUGAGAGGAGACACCCAAGGUUGACCUCGGAUCAGGUAGGAAUAUCCGCUGAACUUAA
rnacentral:misc_RNA from 1 species